rnacentral:rRNA from 1 species
CGGGUGAGUAACGCGUGAGGAACCUGCCUCAAAGAGGGGGACAACAGUUGGAAACGACUGCUAAUACCGCAUAAGCCCACGGCUCGGCAUCGAGCAGAGGGAAAAGGAGCAAUCCGCUUUGAGAUGGCCUCGCGUCCGAUUAGCUAGUUGGUGAGGUAAUGGCCCACCAAGGCGACGAUCGGUAGCCGGACUGAGAGGUUGAACGGCCACAUUGGGACUGAGACACGGCCCAGACUCCUACGGGAGGCAGCAGUGGGGAAUAUUGCACAAUGGGGGAAACCCUGAUGCAGCGACGCCGCGUGGAGGAAGAAGGUCUUCGGAUUGUAAACUCCUGUUGUUGAGGAAGAUAAUGACGGUACUCAACAAGGAAGUGACGGCUAACUACGUGCCAGCAGCCGCGGUAAAACGUAGGUCACAAGCGUUGUCCGGAAUUACUGGGUGUAAAGGGAGCGCAGGCGGGCGAUCAAGUUGGAAGUGAAAUCCGUGGGCUCAACCCAUGAACUGCUUUCAAAACUGAUUGUCUUGAGUAGUGCAGAGGUAGGCGGAAUUCCCGGUGUAGCGGUGGAAUGCGUAGAUAUCGGGAGGAACACCAGUGGCGAAGGCGGCCUACUGGGCACCAACUGACGCUGAGGCUCGAAAGUGUGGGUAGCAAACAGGAUUAGAUACCCUGGUAGUCCACACCGUAAACGAUGAUUACUAGGUGUUGGAGGAUUGACCCUUUCAGUGCCGCAGUUAACACAAUAAGUAAUCCACCUGGGGAGUACGACCGCAAGGUUGAAACUCAAAGGAAUUGACGGGGGCCCGCACAAGCAGUGGAGUAUGUGGUUUAAUUCGACGCAACGCGAAGAACCUUACCAAGUCUUGACAUCCUGCGACGAUGCUAGAAAUAGUAUUUUCCUUCGGGACUGAUUAUUUUGUGACUGAGUGGCGGACGGGUGAGUAACGCGUGGGUAACCUGCCUUGUACAGGGGGAUAACAGUUGGAAACGGCUGCUAAUACCGCAUAAGCGCACAGCAUCGCAUGAUGCAGUGUGAAAAACUCCGGUGGUAUAAGAUGGACCCGCGUUGGAUUAGCUAGUUGGUGAGGUAACGGCCCACCAAGGCGACGAUCCGUAGCCGACCUGAGAGGGUGACCGGCCACAUUGGGACUGAGACACGGCCCAAACUCCU